UCCUGGUUUCCCAGGCAGUCCCAUCAGAGUGCCCCAUAAGGUAGCAACUGAUAGUAGGGGUUGCGCUCGUUAGAGGACUUAACCCAACAUCUCACGACACGAGCUGACGACAGCCAUGCAGCACCUGUGUAUCUGUUUAAACCGAAAUCUAAAAGAUUGCAUUUCUGCAACUGUCAAAUACAUGUCAAGCCCAGGUAAGGUUCCUCGCGUAGUGACGAAUUAAACCACAUGUUCCACCGCUUGUGCGGACCCCCGUCAAUUUCUUUGAGUUUUAAUCUUGCGACCGUACUCCCCAGGCGAAUCACUUAACGCGUUAGCUUCGAUACUAAUCCAGCUAAGCCGAACUAACAUCUAGUGAUUAUCGUUUACAGCGUGGACUAC
rnacentral:misc_RNA from 1 species